AAGUCUGUAGCUGAUACGUUCUCUCGAAAUUGUCCUCGGUUGAAGGGACCUGCCUUCUCCAAGGCCACAUGCCUUCCCCAGGGCAGACCAAACCAAUCACCUGAUGGUGCAGGAGUACAGAGGUUCAGCUUUUGUAUUGCAUGCAAAUACCUGCCUCAGAGUCUGCUUUCCAGACAACUGGACCUGAGAGGUCUGCCCAAGAAUCUCUCUAGAAGAAUUGGAGGAACCAAGACUGAGCCCUUGGAAUAUUUAGGUGGAAAAAGAAGUGGCUGUCACGGACAGAAAAAAACAUGGGCCAGAGGUAGUACCAUGAACUUGAUUAGUUCUUCAAAGGGUUAA
rnacentral:lncRNA from 1 species